UUGCAUGAUGAAAACAUUUUACACAGACCUGUUCUGAAUAAAAUUGAGGACAACCAUUUAUUGCCUAUUACUUCUGAAA
rnacentral:snoRNA from 1 species